UUAAAUAAAAUUUAGAGUAUGAUUUUUUAUUAAAAUGUAAAGAUUUGAAGUCUAUUUUAUUAUUUUUUCUUUUUAUUUAAUCGAAGUAUUUUAGUUUGAUAUAAAAAAAUAAAAAAUAAAAAGACAGUCACACAACUAGAAAUAUUUUUAUGGUUAAAUGAAGAGUAAAUUGUUUUAAUGAUCCCUCAACUUUAACUCAAUUGGUGUAAUGGUCCCUCAACUAAAAAUCCAUUUCCAUUGGUCCCUUAACUCAUCAAAAUGUGCAGCUCUGGUUCUUUGCAUCAACUCCAUUACAAAUUUCAUCAAAAUGAGUCACGUGACAUGCAUGUGAGGCUAAAUCAAGAGGCAAUAUGGAAAAUCAAAUAAGAAAAAUUGUUUCAAUGGUCCCUCAACUUUAACCCAAUUGGGACAAUGAUCCCUCAACUUUAACUCAAUUAUAGCAAUGGUCUUUCCGACAUAACUCAUUUUAAUAGAAUUCUGACAGAGUUGACGAAAAUGACCAUAUCUAUACAUUUUGAAGAGUUAAGGGACCAAUGGUAAUGAAUUUUUGGUUGAGGAACCAUUGCACCAAUUUGAUUAAAGUUGAUGAAUCAUUGCUACAAUUUACUUUGUAACAGAAACACAAGACAUGUGUUGCAUCUCCUUUUUGGCGGGUGAGCUCAUUUCCUCGCGAAUAAUGUAUCUUUACCAUACAAAUUUCAUAGUUGCAAACGUUUAAUUUUUAAUCUUCAUUUGAAGAUCACCCCUAAACAAGGUUCUAAAAAACAUUAGGCGCUAGUUGGGCGGUGGGUUGGCGCCUAGCGCCUAGGCGGCUUUGGCGGAUUUAGGUAAAUUUCUUGUAUAUCUUGUAAAUAAGUGCAUAUUGGCACUUACAAAAAAUUAUACUUAUAUGAAAUCCAUGGAUAAGAUAAUAAAAGAAUGAUAAAAUGCAAAAAGAGUAUCCAACAAGUCCAAAAUUAAAAACACAUUAAACAUAUAUGCCAUAUAACUAGGCUUGGCAAACGGGUCGUGUCUGUCAUGUUCGUGUCGUUUUCGUGUAACACCUGUUAUCUUAACGGGUCGUGUCGUGUCACACCCGUUAUCUUAACGGGUCCUUAACAGGUCAGGUCACUUUACCCAACGGGUAAAGUGACCCGACCCGUUAUGACCCGUGGGUAAAGUGACCCGACCCGUUAUGACCCGUUAAGAAAAAUAUUUUUUUCUUUCUUAAAUUUGCACAUACCACACAUUACCACAUAAAUAUUACUUCAAAACAUUAAAACAUAUUUGUCGUUUAAGUACUACAUCUACACUCGAAAAUAAGUGCCUAAUAAAAAAAUAAUACAUACACUAUUAAUCUAUUACAAAUAUUAAACGUGCAAGGAUAUGCAAAAUGAAAAAGUUUUUGUUUUCGAGGUUGUGAAGUCUUUAUCAAAAGUUUAAACUCAAUUUACAAAAUCCUCGAUUUACAUCGAUCAUCAUGAAAUUGUAUUGGAACAUUGGCUUGAUCUCAGCCGAUCGAAUGGUGAUCAAUUUUUUUUUAAAUUUAAUUUAAUAUAUAUAUAUAAUUAUAUUAUAUAAUUAUUAUAGUUUUUAGGGGUAUAAAAUUGUUAAAUUAAUAUAUAGAAUUAUUAUAGUUUAUUCAUACUUUUAUUAAGUAUAACAUAAGAUUUUGUGAUAUCCACUAGUGUAAAUAUUUUAAAUUGAAGAUCGAAUUCAUUUGUAUUCAUAUAGGGUCAAUGAGUGUAGUUGUAAAAAAUCAUCAAAAUCGGAGUUAAAAUAACCAUUAAAUCAUGAUUUUUCAUUUUAUAACCAUCGAAAAGUUUUGUCUCGUUACUUGAUAUCUGAAUGUUUGUUUUUUUGCAAUUUUUGGCGUAUGCAAUCUCGAAGUAUAUACAAACAUGUUUGACAGUUGGAUCGUUGAAACUAAUUUCGUAGAAUGUGUGUAUCUCAUCAAAACAAUAGAUUCACUAACACUUAAAAGUUUAUUCAUACUUUCAUUAAGUAUAGCAUAAGAUUUUUUUGUACCACUAGUGUAAAUAUUUUAAAUUGAAGAUCGAAUUCAAUCAUUGUAUUCAUAUAGGGUUAAGGAGUGUAGCUACAAAAAAAUCAUCAAAAUCGGAGUUAAAAUGACCGUUAAAUUGUGAUUUUUCUUUUUAUAACCGUCGAAAAGUUUUGUCCCGUUCCUUGAUCUUUGCAUGUUUGUUUUUUUCAAUUUUUGGCGUAUGCGAUCUCGAAGUAUAUGCAAACAUGUUUGACAGUUGGAUCAUUGAAACUAGUUUCAUAGAAUGAGUAUCCCAUCAAAACAAUAGAUUCACUAAUACUUAAGAGUUUAUUCAUACUUUCAUUAAGUAUAACAUAAGAUUUUGUGGUACACUAGUGUAAAUAUUUUAAAUUGAAGAUCGAAUUCAUUCAUUGUAUUCAUAUAGGGUCAAGGAGUAUAUCUGUAAAAAAAUCAUCAAAAUUGGAGUUAAAAUAACCGUUAAAUCGUGAUUUUUUGUUUAUAACCGUUGAAAAGUUUUGUCUCGUUACUUUAUCUCUGAAUGUUUGUUUUUUGCAAUUUUUGGCGUAUGCGAUCUCGAAGUAUAUACAAACAUGUUUGACGGUUGGAUCAUUGAAACUAGUUUCGUAAAAUGAGUAUCCCAUCAAAACAAUAGAUUCACUAAUACUUAAGAGUUUAUUCAUAUUUUCAUUCAGUAUAACAUAAGAUUUUGUGGUAUCCACUAUUGUAAAUAUUUUAAAUUGAAGAUCGAAUUCAUUCAUUGUAUUCAUAUAUGAUUAAGGAGUGUGACUAUAAAAAAUAAUCAAAAUCGAAGUUAAAAUAACCAUUAAAUAGUGAUUUUUUGUUUUAUAACCAUCGAAAAGUUUUGUUCGGUUACUUGAUCUCGGAAUGUUUGUUUUUUGCGAUUUUUGUUGAUACGAUCUCGAAGCAUAUACAAGUUUGACGGUUGGAUCGUUGAAAUUAGUUUUGUAUAAUUUGUAUCCCAUCAAGUUCAAUGGUGUAUGUGUACAUAUAUAUUUUUAUUAAGUAGAUUUAAAUCUAUUUAUUUUGUAUGUAUAAUUGACCGGUACAUGGAGUAGUACAUCACAUGUCAUUAAAUAGUGGGAUAUGUUAUAUGUGUGAUAAAAAGUUAAUAACUUCAAAAAAAUAAAAUUUCUCACCACUUUUAUUAAUUUUCAUGUUUCCCUCUCUUUUUUGUUUCCUUUUCAACUUUUCUUAUAAUUUUCAUUUUUCCCUUCCUUCUUUUUCUUCAAAGGGCAUCAACCUACCCAUCUUUCCCUCUCCUUUUUUGUUUCCUUUUCAGCUUUUCUUAUAAUUUUCAUUUUCCCUCAUUUUUUCUUCAAAGGGUGCAGCAGGAAUGGAAUGAAAUUAUGGAAUCAAUGGAUGCAUAUUAAUUAAUAAUUAUUAUAGUUUUUAUAAAAUUUAAUUUA
rnacentral:lncRNA from 1 species